UCCCUGGUGGCUCAGAUGGUAAAGCAUCUGCCUGCAAUGUAGGAGACCCGGGCUCAAUCCCUGGGUUGGGAA
rnacentral:tRNA from 1 species